AAUAGAUACCCCGGGUAGUCCACCCCGUAAACGUUGGGAAACUAGUUGUGGGGUCCAUUCCACGGAUUCCGUGACGCAGCUAACGCAUUAAGUUCCCCGCCUGGGGAGUACGGCCGCAAGGCUAAAACUCAAAGGAAUUGACGGGGGACCCGCACAAGCGGCGGAGCAUGCGGAUUAAUUCGAUGCAACGCGAAGAACCUUACCAAGGCUUGACAUAUAGAGGAAACGUCUGGAAACAGUCGCCCCGCAAGGUCUCUAUACAGGUGGUGCAUGGUUGUCGUCAGCUCGUGUCGUGAGAUGUUGGGUUAAGUCCCGCAACGAGCGCAACCCUCGUUCUAUGUUGCCAGCACGUAAUGGUGGGAACUCAUGGGAUACUGCCGGGGUCAACUCGGAGGAAGGUGGGGAUGACGUCAAAUCAUCAUGCCCCUUAUGUCUUGGGCUUCACGCAUGCUACAAUGGCCGGUACAAAGGGCUGCAAUACCGUAAGGUGGAGCGAAUCCCAAAAAGCCGGUCCCAGUUCGGAUUGAGGUCUGCAACUCGACCUCA
rnacentral:rRNA from 1 species